CCAAGUUGUCCAUAGUAUAUACAGCCUGUGGUUAUGUCCCUAAGUUGCAACCAAACAAGGAUACAACUCCAGCUACAAUGUAACUAGUUUCACCUCAAAGUUUAGUGUGCAACAGGCCAGAGGCGUUCAUCUUUUUUGACCUGUAUGUACCUGACCUGGCCUACACUCUGAGCCCUGAAAACCUUAUAACUGAGCCCAAAUCAUCAGCAGUCUGUGGAAAAGCAGGGGUAUUGGUGGGCGUAAAUACAGAUGACCUAAUUCUAGCUUACAGGGAUGGAGUGAAUUAUGAUUGAAUGAAACCACGUUUUGUGGUCAGGGAAGAAAAAAAAGUAAGUUCUGAAUGAAAGCAGGUUGAUUUACACCACUGUUUGGAAAAUCUGAUCUGGCAGUGUCUCUCCACCACAGAGAGAAGAAUCAUGAAGAGGAGGUGGCAGGGAAACAGAGAUUAGAGAAAGAGGAGGAGGCUGCGGUUAUCCUUCCUCACUUUAUUUCUGUCAGCAGGGAUAUGCCGCCUUAAAAGCUCGUCCUCAUUUUAACACAGCCUCCCUGAUCCUUGAGUCAGUCUAUCUUUAAAUCCCUCCAUCUAUCCUGGAGAUCCAGCAGCUCAAGCCAGGCCAUUACAAAUGGAGAGACUGAGAGAAAGGGUGAGGAAAAGAGGAGAAAACUCUCUGGAUCAGCAGGUGGAAAGAGUUUCCACAUGAGAACAUAAACUGUAUAAAAUGUGGUUCAGAUGUAAUGAGUUUCAUCUGAGCUCGCUGAAAGUAGUCUGCUUCGAUAUCCUGCUCAGUGAUGAAUCUCUUGUCUCUCAGGGCUGUCUCACAGAGGGGUCAAAGGUGAUAUACCACUCCUGUCAAAAAAAGAUACAGGUGACCCAGGGAUCUUGGCUCACCCUGGAUUUAUACAAAACAGCUCCAUGUUUGCUCUUUUUGCAUCCACAUAGUGAUACAUCUCUUAAAUUCUUGCUCUCAGAGUUCUUUGGCAGAAAUAUGUCUGGAGUCAAGUGUAAAUUACGACCAUAUGAUAAAGAGGAAAUUCAUCACAGGCUACAUGAGACUUCCAAGAGAUAUUUAGCAGAGAGAAAUAUUUCCUGCUGAGCUUAUUUAGCAAACAUCCCAUUUCUCAUUAGCAUCCAGAUGCACAGCUGCUGAAGUUUUUUUUUUUUCAGAAUCAAUUUGUUUGUGUCUCUUUCCCUGAAGCAGCAGAGAAAUAAACGUACAUGCUGUCAGCUUGAACCACCGCUCUCAGUGAGGAGCUGAGGUCAUGUGUAAUGAAACAAACAACACCCCCUCCCAUCGCCUGACGUCUUCUGGCACAGCAGGCGUCCUCAGAUGACUCCUGCCAGGCUGAGGGUGAGUAAGCAGAAGAAAAGGAGGGGGAGGAGGAAAUGCCUGGAACUGCUGAGGGAACGGCAUCAUCCCACGAAUCAAUGAGUAAAAAAUGGGGGAAAAGUAGCCCACUGUGAUCCACUGUAAUCCACUCGACACCACCUGUGGAUUACAGACUCUAGUGAGGACAGACUGUGUGGGUUUGAGGGGGGUGUCUCUGCUUUAGAUAAAGAGAGAAUUCAUUUAUAUCCAUAACUUACCCAACAAAGUAGGAUGAAAGUAUGGAGAUCAGGCAGUGAGAGGAAAAGAAAAGGGAGGUCAGACAAAGUACAAAAGGAUUAUUCUUCCUCUGUCUGCUCUUUUGCUGGCAGAAAUUGGCUUGUUUGCAAAAAUAAAAAUAUCAUAACUUUGAACCGAUGACAGAAAGGGUUGUGUGUGUCUUAGUGAUAUACAGAUGAGCCCACGAAUAUUUUUUUGUUGUCUCUUUCAGUCUUUAACUUAAAAAGUACAGGAAUUUUCAUCUCAUCUCUAUCAAACCAUUUUUUGUGACAUUUACCACUAAACUCCAUCACAUAACACCAUAUGCUUUAUUAAUACCAGAGCAAUCUUUUAAGAAAUGCACCAUGUUGUUAUAAAAAAAAAACUCCCCAGUUAAAGUUCAAUAAAGCACUUUGUAAAAUUUGGUACUUUACAGUUUUAAAUCACUCUACCUAUUUUUUAAACACACAGACUAGAGAUAAAUUGUUCUCACUUAUCUAUGAAAGAAACUCCCCAGUAUAAAUUAAACAAAAAAUUUUUGUAACUGCCUCCCUAAAAAAAAGGAUUAACACAAUAUUUACCAUUAUCUUGCUAGUAAAAAAGCAAUCUCUAUUUCAAGUUAAGCAGUUCACUUUUUAUAAAUUUUUCAUUAAACAGUGUCUGUGCAAUUUCAAAAUAAAAGAAAAUUGAACUGCAACUUUUGCUGAAAAGAGUGACUUGAAUUUAAAAAAAAAAACUUAUUUUGUUAUUUUGUGAAGUUGUGACUUGCAGCAAAGAGUGAGGGCCAGAAAUAAAUUAAACAUGAAACUCAGAAUUCAGAAUCUCAACUUAAAUGUCACUAAGUCUAAGAGAAAUGAAGCCCUCUGGAAAAAAGGCAGUAUUCAGACUUUGAUAUUUAGGGGAAGAGUCACAAGUCUAGGGUUAAAGUUGCGGUUAACUCUAACUCACAAACCUUAAAGACCCACUCGGACAUAUCAUGAAAAAAAAUCACUGUGAGUCUCUGGCAGACACAAACGGCAGGUUCAGACACAGUGGGAUUUCAUAUGUCACAACUGCAAGCUCUGCUCCCGGAUCCCCACUAUGCAGGCAAUACUUUGAGAAGUAGAGAGGACGAUCGCAGAACAAGUAAGUGCGGUAGCGGAUUGCAAUGCUCUUAAGAAAGCUAAUUAUGGUAUUAACGUUCAUCAUGUCCCCAAAGACAUUAGUGUACCAGAGCUGAGACACUAAUGUUACCUGCUACUUCUACUACAAUUACAAUGUUAGGCUGCAAGCUAGCGUGAAGAGGAGUGUGCAAAGCAGUGCUGUCUCCACCCACAACUCAGAAGUGAAUUUCUAAUGAGCAACUGGAGCUCUGCAAAAGAAAAGUCCUUGAAAAUGACACAGGUAAUGUGAUUUUGGCAAAAAACUUUGAUAAUGAUUGAAAGAUCACUGAGAACACUCUAAGUAGUAAAAAAAAAAAAAAAAAAGAUCAGAUCAGGGUGGAACUUUAACAAACAUUGGAGAUCUUUACCAUGGAAAAUGUAUAAUACAAUAAAAAUGCUGUUUUGUUAAGUGUAGGAGAUUAAUUAGUCUGACACCUAACCCCACGACUGGUCUUAGAUUUCAGACAGAAAUAACCAAUCUGACAAUCCACUGGGUUUGCUUGUUUUCUGUCAGUCCUGUUUCAGCCAGUUACCAGCAAAAAACUCCUUACACUAGCUUUAAAGGAACUUAAGAACUGGUGCAUUUAUUAUGUCUAAUUCAUGGCCAUGCAUUUCAGUGAUACUUUGACAAUAGCCCGCAUAUAUCUAAAAUCAUAACAGCAUUGACGUCCUUUCAAUAUAAACCAGGCCUGUAUGAAUCAGAAUGAAGGAUGCCCACUUUCUGCCUCUGCAGCAAGGUGGAUGAAAACACAUCAGCAAGAGGAAGAGGAGGUGGGAAGGGGGUGGGGGGAGGGGGUGAGAUGAUGGAAACGGUGGAGGUAAGUGUGACAGCUGGUGCAACACUGCCCCCAUGUGCUCUUCCUCUCCUCUGCUCCCCUGGCAGCCUCCUGUCUGUUUGUCCGUCAGCACAGGGCCGUUACAUGAUGCUCCUUGUUCAACAGCUGCUACACAGAGCUGUGUUCGUUUAUGGCUGAGGCUUUAUGUGGCUUUGAGCCGGGAUCCCUCGUCCAGCUUAAACCCCCAUCACUCCAACCUCCGACACUUUCCCUCCUUGUUUACAGGGGGGAAGACUCAGCCAGUAGAUUUCACGUCAGUCAGCAAAAUAAAGGAGAGAGAGCUGCCAAAACUCUGUCAGUGCUGAAGAUAAAGAGAGACGAGCAUCACACUUUGCUGCAGGACUUUUCUGCUGACACUUUUCUACCUGAAGAGUCAUCGGAGGAGACGGAUGUCUUUUUAGGUUGGAGAGAUAAGCAGAAAAAGAGGCUUUGAAGAUCCUUAAUGUUAUUCAGAUGCUGCUGACCUUUCUCGUGGCAUAUUUGCUGACUUUUUUGAAAAGGGCAACGAUGAAAAAUAGGAGGAGUUCUUUUCACAGAGGCAGAAAGCAAAGAGGAGGAAGCUGACAGAGUUUGCAAAGAGCGUAGGGCAGAUGAGAACACAGAUCCAGGCUGCUCUGUGACACAAAACAGUAAUAAUAUCAUUCCAGAAACAGGAAAAUAAACUCAUGCCUCAGAUGGGAACAAAAGGGGAGCAUUUAAACCAAGUGAAACAGUUAGCUAAAAUACCCAGCAGUGUCUGAAGGGAAGAGUUAUAAUAGGCAGCACUUUAAACACUCCUUUUAAAUAAUAAUGACUAUUCAUUUGGUCUUUGUGUGUUUUUCAGUCAUAAUCUCAUGUUUUUAACAAGAUAAAAGAUUUAAAAAGAAGAGCAGGAUUAUUCUAUUGUUGUUGGUAAAAAGCAGAACUUUUUCCUCAACUCUGGGGUGCAAAUACACUCACCGAUCACUUAUGAGGUACAUCUUGCUAGUACCAGCUUGGCUUCUGACACCUUGUUGUCCUUUCAACAAGGUGUCAGAAACCUUCCUCAGAGAUUAUUGUCCAAAAUAACAUGAUAGCAUGGUGCUGCACAUCCAUGAUGUGAAUCUCCCGUUUCACCACAAUCCCAUAGGUGCUCUACUGGACUGAGAUCUGGUGACUGUAGAGGCCGGUGGAGUACAGUGAACUCUGUCAUGUUCGACAAACCAGUCUGAGAUAAUUUGAGCUUUGUAGACAUGGUGCGUUAUCCUGCUGGAGGUAUCCAUCAGAAGAUUGGUACACUGUGGUCAUAAAUAGAUGGACAUGGUCAGCGACAAGUAGGCUGUGGUGUUUAAAUUAUGCUCAGUUGGUACUAAGGGGCGCAAAGUGUGCUAGGAAAAUAUCCCCCUCACCAUUAGACCCCCACCAGCAGCAGCCUGAACCGCUAAUAUGAGGCAGGAUAGAUCCAUGCUUUCAGGUUGUUUAUGCCAAAUCCUGACCCACCAUCUGAAUGUUGCAGUUGACAUCCAGACUAAUCAGACCAGGAAACAUUUUUCCAAUCUUCUAUAGUCCAACUUGGUGAGCCUGUGUGAACGGUAUCCUCUGUUUCCUGUUCAUAGCUGGUCUUAGCUGACAGGGGUGCCCUGGCGUGGUUCUCCAUCCAAGCGCCUCCUCUUUUUUUAUGCUGCAUCUGAUUUAAAUAGUGCCAUACCUGUUCUCACUGAUGCCUUUGCUGUUCUGUACUGGAGGUCUUUGCUACUGCUCUCCCUGCCUCAUGCUUUGGUAGUUCAUACUGUAAAGUUGAAAAGGUAAGAAUCAUAAAGGCAUGAUAUUAUCAUGAUUUGUAGAUGACGAGAUGAGGAGGAGUACUGAUGUCAAAUGCUGUGGACUUAAUACAAGCACUUUUGUUUUAUUCCCAAUAAGCUAAAGAAAACUUGCAGCCUUCCACGAUUGCAGGUUCUAGGGGAAGGUACAUUUGUGAAUCAUCAGUGUAACGAUGAAAAGUAAUGUGUUUUUAAAUAAUAUGGCAGGAUGAAGGCAAAUAGAUAGAGAAGAGGGUUCGACCAAGGAUGGAACCUUGGGAGACACCACUAGCAGAUACCUUACCUCUGGAUGAGAAUACCAUGAUCUGCAGAUAGAUCUGCAGAUAGAUCGAGGAGUACAGUUUCCUGAAUCAGCAGCUAAAAGAGAGUGGUAUGAAGUAUUUGAGCCCACACACCAAUAGAGAGUGUUUAAUAUUGCAUCUUUGUUAUUACAUUGGCACUAAGGUUAUUAGAGAACAGCCAGAUAAGAUGGUGUUCAAGUUUGUCCUGCUCAAUGUUCAAUGUUUGGGGGGUUCACACCUGCAACUAAAAAAAACCUCAGAAGAUAUAUCAAAUUAAAACUAAGCAUUUUCAGAGAAUUCAAAACCAAACUAAAAGUAAAGCCUCAAAAACCUAUCAGAACUAAACUGAAAUUAAAAAAAUGCAAGCCAUUCUGAAAUUAAAAUAAAAUCCUUGCUCAGCAUUAGCUUUGCCCUCAUCAGUUAAUGCUAUGCCCAGAUGAUGGCAAAGUAGGUAGGUCUCACAUUCAUUGAAUGAUUUGUUUAUCCAUCGCUUCCUUGUAUAUAAAAUCCCGGAUAAGUCACAGUUCAUGCGCAUAACUGUAAUAACGAGACAAUAAUUCAAAACCUUUCACUCAUGUCUGUGUUCUCAUGGGUUGAUGGAGAGUUCUUCAAAUGCAGCAUGAAAUUGACAAAGUCUGAGCUCUCUAUGAUACACUUUUGUAAUUAUUCUAAAACACAGCACCUCAUAAUUGUACUGCUUACAACUAAAUCUUUCUCAGUGCUCAAAGACUCGUUUUGAAUAUGCUCAAAAGAUGGAUUCACAUGACAUACUGUAAUAAACCCAGCUUCCCUGCUGUCUAGUAAAUUUUAUUCUGACAGGAUAGAGAAAGAAAUAAAAGUGAGCUCCACUUUUCCCUUGUUCAGCACGACGGAGGCUUUGUUCUUAAAAUAGUCUGCCUUGUGAUUUAAAUUCAGUCUGGAGUAUUCGGAGCAAUGAGACGAGAUCAAAGAGGUCUCUUUAGACUCACUUACUGCAGAAAAGAGAGCAGGCGGGAGAAGCGAGCAGAGAAAAUACAAGUCUCACCGGAUCACACAGGGAAAUUGUUCUCUGCACACUUCCAGCAAAUCGUAUUAGAUAGAGUCACUGUGGCAACGAGAGAAGAUAAUCUUUAAUGUGCUCUUUAAUGAGAGGGAAAAUGUUUGUCUCUGGUGAUUGAGGCUCUUGCUGAGCAAAUUAUAUCCAAAUCACUCCACCAGCAUGGGCUUUAUCACUGAUGAAAAGAGGCUAAGGGAUAGCUUUCAAUUAGUGCAUUAGAUUGACACAAUCAGAACAUGUAAUGGGUUUUAAGGCCUUGGCUGCGAGCUCAUCACUCAAUGAGCGGCUCCAAAGAGGUCGUCAUUAGCUAACUGGAAGAGGACUCUUUCUUUGGUCGCUUCAACAGAAGAGGAGCUUCAGCUAAUUUAAAAUCUACUAGUGAACAUGCAGAGCAAACACCUCACACACACUGGGAGGUCUGGACACAUUUGACUGGUUUGCUGUAGACGACUGUAGUCACUCACCAGAGCUUUGGACAACAGUAGCUGCUCCAAAAUUGUCUUUUUUUUCUCAUUUAAGUGGGACAUUUUUCUAAAUUGACACAUGGUUUAAAAACAUAGAUGAAGAGUUUUUCAUGCAAUGGUCAUUGUUAAGGCCAUCCAUUUGGAGAAAAAAACUCAUAAAAUUACGACAAUAAAUUUGCAAAGUUGAUUUACUUUGUUGUAAACAAGUAUCUUAAUUUGGAGAGGAGGACAAGACCAGCAGCUAGCCUCCAAAGCUAAUAUGAGGAACAUGGAACAUCUCUUCAGGUUUAGUCAGGAUUUCAUGAAAAAUAACCAGAUGUCUAAUUCGUCAGGUCAUCAGCGCUUGUCAUAAUAAUCAGAGGUUUGAAUCAGUUGUAUUAGAAACCAGGUUUAUCAUAAACACACUAAGAGACAGCCUGUGAAUGCCUCUGUGAACCUCUGUUUAUUCUCAGCUGUUGAGUUUGAUUUAAGAUCAUCCUCUAUUUACACAGUUAACCAUAGCAUACAAUUGCUAAUAAAAUUACAACUUCUCUUUGAUUUAAAACAUUACUACUGAAAUUUAUGACCUCAAUCUUAACAUAUUUAUUUUCAUAAACUUGUGAAUUUGCUCCUGAAAUCUCAUUUCCUUUAAUUUUGUGUGACUGUAAUAUUCCAUCAAAGCUUCAGCAACAGUAUAGCAAAAAGAGAUGGACUGACCUUUUAUACAGAAAUGUUGUACAUACCUUUAGAAAACCUGCCUUACAGGUCAUAAGUAUCAUCCCGUCCUCCUGUUCUGAUGUUGCGUUUACAUGAUCCACCUGCAGUUUACAACACAUUUGGAGAAUUAAAAAUUGAGGGAGUUUAGUUCACGAGAUUAACCUUUAGAGUUGAAGAUUUACAUGAGCACAACAUUGUUUUGGCAGGUUUUUGUAAACCUGAAAUGGUUUGUGCAUGUAAGGUUCCAUUCAAAAGAUGAUUUUGCAUUGAUCAUAACCAUAGGUUGAUUUCAGAAAAGCAGCCAGCUGCCUGCUAUAUAAUGAGGAAUGUAGAUCUUGGGGAAUUAAACUCAACUGCUUUAUAAAUGACGCACUUCAAUCAAUUCUGAAACUUAAUACUGAUAAUAAGUUGUGCUGAUAUGCAAAAAGAUAUAGGUCAAAAUUGGCCGUCGAAAUCAGACGGAGGAACAGAAUGAAAGAUUUUUUUUACGUCUAUGUCUGAUGUGGUCUAGACGUCUGAUUGCCGUCUUAUUGAACGUCAGUAAGACUUUCAUUGUGCUUUGAAUAAAUGUCUUAUUCUCCUCUGAAGGUGCAGAAUAAAAGUUUUUCUUGAGUCUAUUUCUGACGUGGUGUAGACGGCCGAUCAUCGUCUUAUUAAAUCAACCUAAUUUCGACAUCCACGGGACAUCUAUUUACAUAAUGACGUCUUCCACAUUUUGUUUCAAUACCUUUCAUCAAAUUGUAUUUCAACCUGAAAAACAGGACUAUAGUUAUGCACAGAGGUUUACAAUUACAACUAGUUUCCUUUCAUUUCCCAUCUAUUCAUUUAACAUCUUAAGGUAAAAAAAAAAUAAAAUCACUUCUGCAAUUAUAACUUUAAAACUACAUCACCCAAAAUUCUGUCAAUUAAAACUUCACAUAAUGCAGAAAUAGCAUUUUGCAAUUGAAAUUGCCACUCCCAUUCAGGAAAAAAGCAAAGUAUUUACACACACAUUUCCAGCUAGACAAACUCCUUACAUUUAUGUGUGUGUGUGUGUGUGUGUGUGUGUGUGUGUGUGUGUGUGUGUGUGUGUGUGUGUGUGUGUGUGUGCAGUCUUAAAACAGAGAGAGAAAUGGCCCAUAGCAUUAGUAGUAGCUCUGUAAACCUGGAAAUUGUAAUUUAAAAACAUGAUUGUCUCUUUCUUUCCUGUAUAGGUGUCGGCCAUUGCUCCUGGCAGGAAUGUCAUAAGAAGUCCUACCUCUUCUUGAUAGCAGCUUAAUACCUGCUUGAGGUCUGUGUUUGGAGCUCCUCGCAGCAGUCUGUUCUUUACAGUUGUGGUCUGGUAUAGAGAAAUAGCAGACCUUAGAAUGCAGCAGUUGACCAAUCAGAAUAAAGUAUUUAACACUGCUGUGCAGCAAUCAUCUCCACACACUGCAUUACCCUUUACAUUAAUUCACCAAUGCUCAUGCAGAUGUCUUUAGGGAGGCAUAUAAAUUGAUACUUGAAAUUAACUCAGUCACCUCCAUAUUCAUAAACUAAUUUUCUCACCUCAUUUAAGCAUGAAGAUUUUUGUUUUGACAGAUGAAAAUUAGUCACUUAUCAGAUCUCUGGUUGUUAAAUCCUAACGAUUACCCUGAGUGUACUGUCUGAACAGAUGAAAACACAUAUACUGUUUACAAUAAUGCCUAUGCUACAGCAAUUAUAGAGCAUCUUUACAUGCCUAAUCAAGGCUCUUCACAGGUUGCUCUGGCUGAUGUUUGUGUUUUCAUGGCUAACACACAUAUUAUGCUAAUUGGAUCAAGUAAACACCUUGUCGAACAAACCUGCGCUGAUGAAAGACGAAUGGUUUAGAUGACUGGAUGAGUGCUUGGUGAUGAUCCAACAUUUUAAACUAUGAGCUUCAUUUUUUUCUGCUUUUACACUGGAAAAAAAAGGUCACUCCAAAAAUAAGUUUAAAAAAAUAUACAACACAUUCACAUCAUGAAGUUCAAUGAUGUUUGUCCUCAUUUCAAAAUGCUGACUUUUUGCUUAGCUAGACACCGAAUAGAGAUAAGGGUGACUAAAGCAGUCCUGGUUGCCGGCUACAAUGCAUCCACCUAUCAAUCACAUUUCCACAAUUGACUGAAGUUAUGGCUAAUUAGUCAUAGCUCUUAGCCUUUAAUCAGAACAGAGAAGUGAUGGGAAAAAAAAUCAACCCUAAUUUUGCAUAUGAAUAAAUAAGGGAUGGAGGCCGACAUUUUUUAUUGUGUCAGGAUGUCAAUAUGGUUCCUUCCUCUAAAAACGGGCAUUUUAACAUGGGCUACAAUGUGGAAUCUCUGGGCUUUUGAGGCCAGUUCCAAGUGGUGUGUCAUUUAAUUCACUCCACUGAAGUACAACUUUUUCUGCAGCAGCUAUCAGAAGACCUAACUCAAAACUUUUGAGAGUUUUGCAAGUAUUGUUUCACCCCUGACUUGUAUGCUGAGUCAGAGUGUCCAGUUUGUGUGGACUUCUGUCUGCCAGGAGUCAUUUGAGUCCACAAAGGCCCUUUUAUGUAGUGACCCUGUACUCACCACACCUGUUUCUGAGCAUUCCUUUAAGUUGGAGGUGGAUGCUAGCGCUACUGGUGCAGGUGCUGUCCUCCUACAGCAGGAUGAUCACGGUAUUGACCACCCAGUCUGUUAUCUCUCUAGGUAAUUCAACAGACACCAGGUUAACUACAGCACCAUCAAGACAGAGGCUCUUGCACUGCUGUGGGCUGCGAUAGAUGUCACAGUUCAUGCGCAUAACAGUAGAUGCCAAAAGAUGGGUUUGUAGUCUUAAAGAAAGUGAGGUGGGUAUAGUGCCAAAAGCCAGACUUGUAGCCAGAGGCUUUGAAGAGUUAAUAUCCAAGAGCUACAGAAGGAUUAACCAACUUGUGCCUCUGAAUCACUAAGGUUACUGCUAUUUGUCAAAAUCAGUGGAAAGUCCAUUCUAUGGACAUGAAAUCAGCUUUUCUGUGGGCUGUUCAACACUUUCAAGUCUAUGUCAGUUCCAGUCCUGAGACACUUUUUGUGUUCUUGGAUCAUAAUCCUCUUGUGUUUCUUUCGUGUAUGUUCAACAGCAAUGAGCGCCUCAUGCGCUGGUCCUUGUUGUUUCAGGACUUUAAUAUCGAGGUCCGUCACAUUAAAGGUGUUGAUAAUGUUGUCUUAGAUGCCUUAUCCAGAGAUGGGUUGUAAUUGAUCAAACAUUUCUUUUAGGGGAAGAAAUGGUUGAUACUCACGCACUUACACACACACAGUCAUGAUCCUUCUGUACACACCAAUAACACAAGAAAGCAUUCAUGUUUUGGUUUUUGUGUGCUGAAAGGCCUGGAAAAGUUAUCUUUAAAAUCCCUGGUCACUCCAGUAUCUUACACUACCCUGUUAAGUCUGCAACUGGGGCUGGGGAGCUAAAACCCUUGAAAAAGGACUGUUUUGCACAGCUUCUUGUGUGUGCUGGCACUCUGUAUCUCCAGGGUAGUUAAUUUUGCAAUGUGGUGCAGGCUUACUUUGUGAAAUACAGAGAAGAAAAAUGACACAAGAAUGAAAUGAUGGUUCUUAAUUCCAAAUUGGGUCUCUGCAAUGUGCUUCCCCAGUUAAAACAUAUAUCCUUAACCAAUCUCAGCCUGAACAAAAUGGUUGACAAAGAUCACACUGACACCUUGUUCUGUUGAGUUUUGGCGAAUCAUACACUCUGCUGCUCAGACCACCUUCACUGUUCACUCUGAGGGGAUCAUCAGCCCACCACUGUAUUUAAACUUGAAGAAGAUGGUAGCUCUGGUCAAAAGAUGAGGGUACAGCAUCUGUAACAUAGCUUGCAUGGCACACCUCACAGGACAAUUUUUUCAGAAUUUUUCUGACAGCAAACCCCAAAAUGUUGACCAGGGCAUUGUCCACAAGACCACCAAGCAGGUUAGCAGGUAACUGUAGUCACAUAUGACUGGCUCUUCCUCCGCCAUUAACGCAAAGUGCAUGUCUACAGCUGACGGGGACACAGUCUCCUCUUGUGCUGCCACAUAGCCUGACCCACUUGGUGAGACUCCACAACGGACCAUCAGACAGCAGAAAAUGCCUUGAAACUGCCCUGAGAUUGUUGUUCAAGGCUCCUCAAAGAAAAUCAAAAACAUUUACAGAAAUAUUUAAUGAGGACAGGUAGGCUAUUAAAGAUAGGAGGAUAAUAACUGUAUAACCAUGUUUCUUCCACAAGUAAGGUAUAAAGAUAUGCACACUGAUGUCUGAGCCUAGAGUGAGGAGACCCAACCAAUAUGGCAAUAACACUCCAGCUCGUAAUGAGGCGCCCAUGUAUAUUAUGUCUUUGUAACCAUGGUAGUGACUUUUUUACGGCAGUCAGAACCAGUCUUGUUCUACAGACUUAUAACAUCCUUGCUUCAAACAUGAUCUGGUGUCACCUCUUAUGUGUAUUUGUGGCAAUUACUCUUACUACAAAUCUUAUGAGUCACAUUUGCACCAUGCAGCCCUGACUUUCAUAUGGUGUGUGGAAUUGAUGGCUGUCCAAGUGAGCACAGGGUAUAAAACCUCUUCUGAUAUUACGUGAAGUGGACGCACGUACAUCAUCUUGUCCAAGUUGAAACAGCUGAAGAGGAAGGACGCCACAGUAUGUAGAGCAAGUGAAAGUUUCAGUCAGGCAAAUAAAUCCAGAAAAUACCCUCUUGGGAGUGUAUAUUAGGAGGAGAUUCUUUUGAGAUUUCAAAUAACCAGUGGCGGCUGCUGGUCUUUCAAGGAGGGGAAGCUCAUUUUUCUGGCCUACAUCAUAAUUGUAUUUGUUUAUUUGUAUGUAACAGAACAGAGUCGCCAAACACAACGGCAGUCGUUUUUAACAAAGACAAAAGUCGCUGAGGAUCGGUAAAGUCUCUGGAGCAGUUAAGAACAACGGAAUGAAUAACUUGGAAAAUGCUCUGGUAGAUGUUUUAUUCUUCAAGAUCGCUGAUUCGCUUGUUUAGCUGUCAAUCAAAAAAGGAUUUCGCCUCAGACAGCUCAUCCAAUCAUGGAUGCAGAAGCUCGGAG
rnacentral:lncRNA from 1 species